GUGUUAGUUAAAAGUACUGAUUUAUUUCAAAGUAGAGCAACAUGUGUAACAGUAACAGCAUUAAAUCAAACCACUUUAUAUAGCUUAAAUAAAGUUGAGUCAAUUUAGUGUGCUGCACACUUCUUAAGGCGUCAAGCUAGGACAGUUUGACCAAUGUACUAUCACGACUCCAUCAACUGGCAACCAUUACACAUUUCAUGCAACAGGUUUACCGCAAGGAGAGGUGUCAGGAUCCUGGCUUGGGCCUGCAGGACUGACAGAACCAGAGGGACAGGCCUUAGUGUCUUCCACAGCAUCAAAUAGCAAAUCAAAAGAAAGGUCGUCAUUGUGAGAUGACCCCUCGCUCUCCACACAGCCGGGCACACUGUUCUCCUCCACAAGACCAUCUCCCACAUGCCCUCCAGUGUGGUCCAAGUUGGCGGCAGGGGAAGGUGCCAGGGAAACCUGAGAACCGCGGCUACUGGAGCUUUCGCCAUCGAGCAUCAUGGAGUCCAGCUCUGAGAUUUUGUCCAGAUACGCCGCAUCCAUGGAGGCUUCACUGGAUUUCUGGAAACUGUCCUGCUCGUCAGCACCAAGAUUUGCAGACAUGGAAUCAGAAGCAAAGUUCUCUGUGCUUGGACCCGGAGAUGAUUGGUCAUUUGACUUUGAGCACUUCCAAGUCCCCCAAAAAACAGGCUUCAUUGAUUCCAUGUCUGCAUUAGUCGGCAAACCUUUGGUGAACUUGUCCCCGCUGUUGAACUGGUUCCCUGCGGUGCUCUCCACGGGACUUGGAAAGUCAUCAAAAUCGAGCCUCCUGAGGUGAGCCACAGGUUUAAACGCAACUUUCUUCUCACGCACACCAGGGCUCCUCAGUGUCAGGGAACGGAAGGCAGAGGAGGGAGUAGAAGGCAAGAAGUCUGAGGAGGUGCCAUCUAAGUCCUCGCCUUUAUUGGUGAUGCCACAGAGAUUCUUGGGAGGGUCCUUGUGAUCCACACAGGAGGAGAACAUCAAACUACGUCCUGACCCGACUCUCCAGGUCUUCGAUGUACUGGUCACUGCGUUCCAGUGCCUUCUUCAGUUGUUCGACAUCUCGCUGAUACUGCUGGAUUUUUGCUUCCAAGGCAGCAACGGUAUAUCGCCCAAACCUGGGGAUGGACCAUGAUCGCUACUCCCGGGCACCGCUGACCAAACCUCCGACACGUCCAGAACUUGCUCCCAACACUUGUGCUUCCUGUUGGGAAUGUGGCCGAGGAGCGCGAGGAGCGUUGUGGCCCUCUGACAUUUGCCUGGAAAAGAGAGGAUGUGCUCGACUGUCUUGUUUGACGUCUCCAUCAUCUGACACUUUUUUUCAUUUGAGGGAACACAGCCUCCUCUUCUGGACAAAAGUGAAAGUAGCAAAUCCUAUGAUGAAGCUCUCAUAACACAAACUGGCCUGAGUGAGUUUCCUGGUGAAGUACAAGCGCCGACAGCCACACCGGUGAGCCUGCCGUCCUCAGUUGGGUGACUUCCGUCUCCCUGGUGAUGAGGGUGAGGUCCCCUGCGGAGAUGAAGACAGAGGAGGUGGGCAAGAUGGAGACAGCAGUGAAGGAGUCGUGUGCGCAUUCCAGAUCAGGUGUUUCUCCUUUAACGGUUGAGGUCGGGUGUCAGGUCAGUGGGAGCUAAUUUUAACAUGAACCAGCAGGGUGUCAAGGUUUAUCUUAAACCUGACGUAGACCCACCGGGCCCUUCUCUUAGCAUGCAAAUGAGACAGGGACAAAUGUCCUGUCACUUCUGGGGCCCCUUGUCCCAAAGUGCUUAACAGUCUUUGCUGUCACCCCCCCCCCCUUUCUCUCUCUCCUUCUCCAAUUGCUUCAAAAGCCCUCUCAUCCCAUCCUCACUCUCUUUUCUCCCUCUUAUGUUCUUUAAAUGAGCUUUCCAACUCCACUUCUUUCUUGCAAUUCAAUUUUCCAAGGCCAUUAUCCCUGGUGUAAUGUGGAGGUUAAAUAUAUCAGGGCAGAUGUUAUGUGAAAAUAAUUAGUGCUGAUGAAUAAUGCAGUCAUUCAGUUGAUGAAGGAUGGUUGUCAGGGUAAUGCAGGGACAAGGGAGGGGCCUCGCUGACAAAUUAAAAAUAUUUAAACGCCCUUUUAUAAUAUUACCAAGCCAUCAUAGUCUUUCGGUGAUACCUUCUCCUCGACAUGAAGAUGCAGUGCAUUACUCAAGUGCAUCAUCCGUCUCAUUAAAAGGGAGAACUUCUCCCCACAGUACACUUUUCAAACCCUGUCCACACACUAAUCAUGUACACUUCCUGGUAAUCAUUUGCAGGACGUCCCGGAAUCUUAUCGACAGCCUAUGUCUGUCUGUCAGAUUCCCUUUUUAUUUAUUGUUAUUACACUCGUUCUGCCUCUUACGAUCUCAUUCUGCACCCAUCAGGUGACAAUGAAGGAUGUACGUUUUAAAUCAUCCCGUUUACAGCGUUGUCCCGGCCAAUUGGCCGUCUUGAAUCGAUAAUGUUGGACCAGAACGGCUUUGCCAGUGAUAAAUGGUCGCACGUCAACGCCAUUUCAUUAGACAUGAUGGUUACAGGAGGUAAGAGGAAAGUGCCUUUGACAGGAAGUCUAAUGACUUCAUUCAUACGAGCCUGUAACGUCCUCUUAUCCAACGCUCCGGACAGUGAAGCCUUGGUUUUUUGGGGCAUUAAUGCGUAGAAUAAUUAUAGUUUGGCAUACAGAAAACAAAGAGAACUACAGUAAUUGUUUAUCACAAAUAUUUCUUACAAUUGGAAUAUUUUCAUAAAGCAUAAAAAACAUGUUAAUGACUGUUAUGUUUAAACACUGUUUUGUUGUGCUUGAUCUUGGGUUUGUUUUUAAGCAGGGAGCAUCUGAGUGUGAAUGUGAGUGUGAAUGUUUGUUUGUCUAUAUGUGCCCUGUGAAUGGCUGGCGACCAGUCCAGGGUGUACCCUGCCUCUCGCCCGAAGACAGCUGGGAUAGGCUCCAGCACCCCAGCACCCCCUGCGACCCUCGUGAGGAAAAAGCGGUAGAAAAUGAAUGAAUGAAUGAAUGAUCCACACGAGACCGCAGAUAUCUGGCACUAAAAAUGAAGAUUUCAAAACCUCCUGACAAAAGUGAAGAUAUGGAGAAAAAUCUGGUGAUGUGUUUAGGUAUGGAUGCAAAUAACCGGAGUUUUACAUUUCCACGCAACCUGUGUUUACGUCACAAACAACAUGGAUGCCAUUAGAUCUGUGUUGGUUGCACUUUUUGCUUGCUUUCCCAAAUACUGCAUCAUCCUGAAGAGCAGAGGUGAAGAAGCACUUUGAGGUCGGACAUUUUCUCUCAAAUAAUCAUUCCACGUCCAAGAUAUCUUCCUUGUAACAGGCUCCGACGCCGGUUUUGGGUAAGACCGGGAUGCACUGCCAGCUGGUGGAAGAUGGAAGUCGUGCUUCUGGAGGAAUGGCGCAAGAAUUCCUGAACAAUUUCACGGUCCUCACUUUUAUCCAUGCGGUUAUGUGUGGAUGUUUUUUUUUUAAUACAAGAUUGUGUGGACACCAUUUUUUUCAUAAACAGAGAUGGGGAAAUAUUUUUUAGUUCUUGUUUGCCCUGAUGGUUUUGGUUUUGGUUCUGUUUAGGAUUUUUAGUUGUGUCUUUCCCUUGUUUUGGUGACAGGAUGGCGGCCAUGUUAUAGGUUUGGAAUUUUUACCUCACCGUCUUUAGGUUUUCCUGGGUUGGCGCAUCUUUAUUUGGUCAUAAAAGGCGUUUUCAUCUAUUGUUCAGUUUACAAUAAACUUUGGUGACUUGAUUUUCUCACCUUCUGUGUCCUCCUUACAUAUGUUACGUUCCCCAUGUCAUAAAAACAACCUUCUAAGUAUAAUAAGUAACAUUAUUAGAGCCCUCUAGACAUAAACUAACACCCCUAUUGUCACGUUUACACUCGUAUUACCCAAUAUAGUGGACAUUAGAGGGACCCAAUCAUAUACCGAUACCAAAACAAGACCAGGGAAUGGCAAAUAACAGGACCACCAGGUCUAGGCAGUUGGUAACAAAAUCCCUAAACCGAGUUAGAGGUGUCACAGCCGUCCCUGCAUGUGAAAUGGGCACCCAGGACCAAUCCCCCUGCAAUCCCACUUUAUACUCAUCAAGAGGUUAGAGGUCCCCUUGAGCAAGGCACCAAACCUUCCAUCUGACAUUUGUAACUUGCCUGCAUGUGUGGGGAAUCUGUUACAGUAACGUAAUGUAACAACCACUUACUGUACAUAUUAAUAACUGCAACACUCCAAGGUGUAACCAGCGUCUGCCCUGAAGUCAGCUGGGAUAGGCUCCAGCAUACCCCCACUUACAGUUUGGUAAGAAAUCAGCAAGAGCCGUCACUUUUUAGUGAACCGAACCAAAAGAACCGGUUCCCUUAAAAGAGCCGACAGCAUGUUGUCAUGGUGACUGUCUUAAAAAGUGUCAUUGAAACUACAAAGUGUGUCUUUUGGAAAGGUUUUUUUUUUUGUUUUUGUUUUCCCCUGUUAUUAUUAUCAUUGUAAUAUUAUUAUUGUUAUUAUCAUUAUCAUUAUUAUCAUUAUUGUUAUAAUCUUUAUCAUUAUAAUCAUCAU